rnacentral:rRNA from 1 species
GAUGAACGCUGGCGGCGUGCCUAAUACAUGCAAGUCGAGCGAACAGACGAGGAGCUUGCUCCUCUGACGUUGGCGGCGGACGGGUGAGUAACACGUGGCUAACCUACCUAUAAGACUGGGAUAACUUCGAGAAACCGGAGUUCAUACCGGAUAAUAUAUUGAACUGCAUGGUUCAAUAGUGAUAGACGGUUUUGGUGUCACUUCUAGACGUAUCCGCGCGGCAUUGGCUAGUUGGUAAGGUAACGGUUUACCAGGGCAACGAUCGGUAUACGAUCGGAGAGGGGGAUCGGCCACACUGGAAGGGAGACACGGUCCAUACUCCUACGGUAGGCAGCAGUAGGGAAUCUGCCGCAAUGGUCGAAAGCCUGACAGAGCAACGCGGCGUGUGUGAUGAAGGUCUUCGGAUCGUAAAACUCUGUUAUUAGUGAAGAACAAAUGUGUAAGUAACUAUGGACGGAUUGACGGUACCUAAUCAGAAAGCCACGGCUAACUACGUG